UACGUAGGGUGCAAGCGUUGUCCGGAAUUAUUGGGCGUAAAGAGCCCGUAGGCGGUUUGUCGCGUCGAAUGUGAAAACCCGGGGCUCAACCCCGGGCCUGCAUUCGAUACGGGCAGACUAGAGUUCGGUAGGGGAGACUGGAAUUCCUGGUGUAGCGGUGAAAUGCGCAGAUAUCAGGAGGAACACCGGUGGCGAAGGCGGGUCUCUGGGCCGAUACUGACGCUGAGGAGCGAAAGCGUGGGGAGCGAACAGG
rnacentral:rRNA from 1 species